rnacentral:rRNA from 1 species
UGGAACCGCAAGUUUUGCGCCCGAUGCCAUUAGGUUGAGGGCACGUCUGCCUGGGUGUCACAUAUCGAAGCCCCCUGCCAAUUUCCCUUUGAUUAUUGUGCAGGGUGGAUGUUGGCCUCCCGUGAGCUCUUUUGUCUCACGGUUGGUUGAAAAUUGAGACCUUGGUAGGGUGUGCCAUGAUAGAUGGUGGUUGUGUGACCCACGAGACCAAUCAUGCGCUGCUCUAUUGAAUUUGGCCUCUUUUACCCAUAUGCGUUUCUAAACGCUCGUGAUGAGACCUCAGGUCAGGCGGGGCUACCCGCUGAAUUUAAGCAUAUCAAUAAGCGGAGGAAAAGAAACUAACAAGGAUUCCCUUAGUAACGGCGAGCGAACCGGGAUAAGCCCACCAUGAGAAUCGGUCGCCCUCGGCGUUCGAAUUGUAUCGAGAAAAAACCCUCAAAAAAUU